GUGUGCAUUGUGUGUGCAAGGCAUGUCCACAAGAGUGUGCAUUGCACCUACACGUGAGCAACCAUGUGCGCACCCCUGCCUUGCACCCAUGCCCCACCACCCCCCCCGUGUUGCACGACGCCGUGCUCACACCUGUUGCACACCCACCACCAACGUGACCCCCACACUCACACUCACCACACCUCUCCUGCUGCUCUGCACGGGGAUGGGGAUGGUCCCAGUAAUGGUGACAAUCCCACUAAUGGUGAUGGUGAUAAUGGUGACAGUCCCAGUAAUGGUGACAGUGGUAACGGUGAGAGCCUCACUAAUGGUGACACAAUAAUGGUGACAAUCCCAGAAACGGUGAUGGUGGUAACGGUGACAGUCCCAGUAAUGGUGACAGUCCCAGUAAUGGUGACACAAUAAUGGUGACAAUCCCAGUAACGGUGAAGGUGAUAAUGGUGAGAGUCUCAGUAAUGGUGACAAUCCCAGUAACGGUGGCACAAUAAUGGUGACAAUCCCAGUGACGGUGAAGGUGAUAAUGGUGACAGUCCCAGUAAUGGUGACAAUCCCAGUGACGGUGACAGUGGUAAUGGUGACAGUCUCAGUAAUGGUGACACAAUAACGGUGACAGUCCCAGUAAUGGUGACAAUCCCAGUAAUGGUGACAGUCUUAGUGAUGGUGACGCAAUAAUGGUGACAACCUCAGAAAUGGUGACAAUCCCGGUAAUGGUGAAGGUGAUAACGGUGACAAUCCCAGUAAUGGUGACAAGCGCAGAAAUGGUGACAGUCCCAGUAAUGGUGACACAAUAAGGGUGACAACCUCAGAAAUGGUGACAAUCUCAGUAAUGGCGACACAAUAAUGGUGACAAUCCCAGUAAUGGUGACAGUGGUAAUGGUGACAAUCCCAGUAAUGGUGACGCAAAAUUGGUGACAGCAAUCCCAGAAACGGUGACAGCAGUGAUGGUGAUAGCGGUGACAGUGGUGAAAGUGACAAUCCCGGUGACGGUGACGAUCCUGGUGAACUUAACAAUGGGAGCGGUGAUAAUCCUGGUGACGGGGACGGGGACGGCGGGAACGGUGACAAACCCAGUAAUGGUGACAAUCCCGGUGACAGUGACAAUCCCAGUGAUGGUGACAGCCCCAGUGACGGUGACACCAGUAAUGGUGACAAACCCAGCAAUGGUGACAAUCCCAGUGAGUGACAGCCCCAGUGACGGUGACAGUGGUAAUGGUGACAAUCCCAGUGAUGGUGACAGUGACAAUCCCAGUGACAAACCUAGCAACAGUGACAAUCCCAGUGACAGUGACAAACCCAGCAGCGGUGACAAUCCCGGUGACAGUGACAGCCCCAGUGACGGUGACAGCGGUGACGGUGACAAUCCUGGUGACAGCGGCAAUCCCAGGAACGGUGACAGUGACAAUCCCAGUGAUGGUGACAGCCCCAGGGACAGUGACAGCGGUAACGGUGACAAACCCAGUGAUGGUGACAGUGACAAUCCCAGUGACAAACCUAGCAGCGGUGACAAUCCCGGUGACAGCGGCAAUCCCAGUGACGGUGACAAUCCCGGUGACGGUGACGGCAGGAACGGUGACAAACCCAGCAAUGUGACAAACCCGGUGACGGUGACGCGGUGA
rnacentral:lncRNA from 1 species